AGUGCUGAACCAUUUUGUGGCUGCUUGUAGUUAGGUUACGUCACCCCACUCUCUACCAGUGCAGUGUGGAGGGAGAGUCUAUAGUCUCCUCAUAUUGACUUUGGCUUGGUAGUGAGAUACGCUCUGGUUAAUAGGAUGAGUGUGGGUUGGUCAGAUUUGCAUUUACAUCCCCACUCGUGUGUGUGUGUGUGUGCACUGUAUGCAUGUGCAUUUACAGGUGUGCACAUGAGCAUGCCCGUGAAUGCGUGCAGAGGCCAGAGGAAGACACCGAGUAACCUUCUCUAUGUCCCCCCACGUGACAGGGUAUCUAAUUGCAUCUAGAACCUGCCAUUUCCCAGGUAGGCUUGCUGACCAGAAUGUUCCAGUGAUCCUUUUGCCUCUGAUCCCUGAGCACUGGGCUCACACAGACCCAGUUUUUUACAAGCCUGCUCGGCUUCUGAAUGUGGAUUCUCAUGCUACCGCUGUGAGUGCUCUUACCCUCUGUGCCAUCUCCCUAGUUCCGUUUCUGGGACUUCCCAUGAGAACUAGAGAUCUCAGAUGAGCACUACCCUUCUUCCUGGGUCCUAGAGUGGUGCCCUAAGGAACUCACCUAAGCCCAACCUGGCCACUUCCAAACUUCCAUUAUUCUUCAGCUAAGUUUGGUAGGCACAUCCUAGGUCUAUGUUUAGAAGGAAACAUGUAUAUAUUUGAGCGCGGUGGAAUGCUCAGAAUGCUUGCCAGUACACCAACUGUUGACUAAUACAUUAACGCUGGAGUUAGUUUUGAUUGACGUGCCUGAAAAUGUACACUGCAGGAUCUAACAUAAACAGAAGCUUGCAGGAUUAUAGCUGCUGUUAUUAUUGUUUUCGACUAUAUUAGCUCCAGGGAAAGAUGUUCUGAGUCUAUAUACACUGGUCUUUGAAGUCUGUCCUGUGCUCUUGCAUGAGAUUGCAGAAUUUUAAACCUGAUGACCUUUGACUCAGAGAAUCCAGCCAAUCUAUCCCCUUGGCUGGAUUCCCAGCCCCCUUGGUCUAGGCAGAGGCCUUGAGAAUGCUCGUUUGUGGCACUUCCAUGUUCUCUCCUGCAUUCUCAAAGACGAGGUUUUUAAGAGUAAAUGCAGAUAGUUCCAGGCAUUCUAGCCCUGCAGCAUCCACUGUACCGGCGGCCUUUACAAAAGGAUGGUCACCCUGUUGCUCCCACUCUCUCGGCAUGAUACCCCAGGGUUACCAGCACUGUGAUGAAACACUGUGACCAAACGCAAGUUGGGGAGGAAAGGGUUUAUUUGACUUACACUUCCACAUUGUCAUCCAACAUUGAAGAAAGCAGCACAGGAACUCAAACAAGGCCGGAACCAGGAAGUAGGAACUGAUGCAGAGAUCAUGGAGGAGUGCUGGGACCAUGAGACUUUCAGAGUGACCAAAAGCCCCUGGGCAUGCUUUCUAGCCUUUGAUGAGCACUGACCAUUCAAGCCUCAGCUUCCCCAUCUGUUCAUAAAACAACAGUGACAUCUCCAAGUCCGUGUGAAGAUGUGUUGGACUGAUUCUUACAGAGUAUGGUAAAGAAAAUAGCCGGCAUCUCUGUCACUGUUGUCUGACUCCCUCAUAAGAACCUUCAUCUGGAGAUGGAUGGAGAUAGAGACAGAGACCCACACUGGAGCACCGGACUGAGCUCCCAAUGUCCCAAGGAGGAGCAGAAGGAGGGAAAAUAUGAGCAAAGAAGUCAGGACCACGAGGGGUGCACCCACCCACGGAGACAGUGGGGCUGAUCUAUUGUGAGCUCACCAAGGCCAGCUGGACUGCGACUGAAAAAGCAUGGGAUAAAACCGGACUCUCUGAAUAUGGCGGACAAUGAGGGCUGCUGAGAAGCCAAGGACAAUGCCACUGGGUUUUGAUCCUACUUCAUGUUCUGAAUUAUUCCUUCUUAAGCUGAGUUUUCUCUUUUUUCAUUUUCUCUUUUUCUUUCUCAAGUUGCUUUGCUCUCAGGGCACCGGGACUGGGUUAGACUGUGGAUAUGGGCGUGAUGAGCUCGCAAGGCAAUGUUAGACACAUGGCCGCAUGUUCAUCGUUAUUUUAACGUGUAUUAAAAGAAAGAUGGCAUUUGUCCUUUCAGGAGUAUUAUAUCAAUUGACAUGAAGUCAGCUGAGGAAUUGCACAGAUGGUAUAAAGUUAGACCUAUAAUCAUAACCAUGCAGUGCAAAGUCAGGAAAAGCUGGAAGAAGCCUAGGUAAAUGAUGCUGGACCUAGAGUACGUUCUUGGGGACGGGGUAGAAAUGGUCAUCACUGCGGGGGACUACUAGGUCUGGUGGGGAAGAGUGACCACAUGAGCGGUGGAAUCUGGUUCCUAAAGACCACACGGUGACUGGGAAUUUUGUCCUUUUCCUUUGGGAGCUGAGUUGGGCUGAGGUCACUUGAGAGGAAGCUGGUUGAGGAGUGGGAGUCAGCAGGGAGCUCCAUACCAGGAAGAAUGUGAAAACACUGGGAUGAAUAAACAAUGGCUUCUGCUUUUGAACAAUUCAAAAAAAAAAAAUAAACACGAAAACACCAGGAAAACAAACAAACAAAACCAUUAAAAAUGGGCCAUGAAACCAGAGAUCUCCAAGGAUGAACUAUAGUGGCUGAGAAAUAUUUUAAGAAGUGUUCAACAUCCAUAGCCACCAGGAAAAUGCAAACUAAAACUGCUUUGAGAUUUCAUCUUACCCCAGUCAGAAUAACUGACAUUAAAAAAAAAAAUGGAGACAAAUGCUAGCGUGUAUGUGGGGGAGGGGAGGGGAAGACUUCUUUACUGCUGACGGGAGUGCAAACUGGUCCAACCACUACUGACAGCAGUGUGGGGGUUCCUCAGAAAGUUAGAAAUGGGCUUACCACAUGAUCCAGUCACACUACUAGAAACAGAACUUAUAUAUAUGGGAUACAGUGGAAUGACUUACAGGUUGUGGCUCGUUGAAUCCCACAAUGGCUGCCUAUGAGUGAAGAUCCAAGGAUCCAGUAGUUGUUCAGUCCUGGAGGCUGGACAUCUCAGCUGGUCUUCGGUGUUCACUGGGAUCCUGAAGAAGCAGGCUCUAAAGCCAGUGGAGGAAUGGACUUGAGAGGAUGAGAACGAGCAGGCAAAGACUGAGCAAACUCCCUUCUUCUAUGCUCUUUAUACAGACUAUCAGCACCGUGGUCUCGAUGAAAGAUGAGUCUUCCCACGUCAAAGAUCUGGAUUAGACGUGCGUUCUUCCACUUUAAAUGUUUAAGGAAAAAAAAUCCCUCAGGGGUGUGUCCAGUCAUUUAAGUUUUUGUUAAUUAAUUAGUAAAGUUGACAAGCAAGAAUAGCCAUCACAAAUCCACCCCUGUCAACAUGACACAAUCGUAUCUCCAUAUGUCAGGCUGCCUUUGUUGGGAUUACUGUUGCUGUGAUGAAACACCAUGAUCAAAGUAAGGCAGUUCUGCAAGAUAAGGGUUUAUUUGGCUUACACUUCCAUAUCACUGUUCAUCAUCAAAGAAAACCAGGACAGGGUCCAAACAGGUCAGGAAUCUGGGAGCAGAAGCCGAUGUGGAGGUCAUGGAGGGGUGCUGCUUAGCGGCUUGCUCAAUGUGGCUUGCUCAGUCUGUUUUCUUAUAGAAUUCAGGACCACCAGCUCAAGGGUGGCACCACCCGCAAUGAGCUGAGGCUUCCCCUAUCAAUCACUAAUUAAGAAAAUGACCUACAGCACUAACUUAUGGAGGCAUUUUCUCAACUGAGGUUCCCUCCUUUUAGAUAAUUUUAGCUUGUAUCAAGUUGACGUAAAACUGGUCAGCACAGAUACUUAAUUUCCAAACGAAAAUAACAAUCAGUUCUUAAUUACACCCAAACAUAAUAUAACCAUUCCAUAUACAAUCACAAAUGCAUUGUAUAUUUCACCAGGUCAUAAGCAUUCCAAACUGUCCUUUGUACAAGCACAACCACAUUAUAAAUUUAGAAUAGGUGUCAAUGUCUCUUGAGAGAGGUUCUUUAAGUAUCUCAAACUUAAAUAUGAUGACCAAUUGAUAUUCUCACAAUUGAUGUUACAUCACAUGAUAAAGAAAUUGAGGAAAGAAAACAUAAAUAUCUGCACAAAUGCAUUCUUUUUAAUUGAUUUUUAUUGAACUCACAUUUUUCUCUGCUCCCCUCCCUACCUCUCCCCCACAUCUCUCCCCCCUUAAA